rnacentral:rRNA from 1 species
UACGAAGGACCCGAGCGUUAUCCGGAUUUAUUGGGUUUAAAGGGUGCGUAGGCGGACCUAUAAGUCAGUGGUGAAAGCCCAUCGCUCAACGAUGGAAUUGCCAUUGAUACUGUAGGUCUUGAGUAUAGUUGAGGUGGGCGGAAUGUGUCAUGUAGCGGUGAAAUGCUUAGAUAUGACACAGAACACCUAUUGCGAAGGCAGCUCGCUAAGCUAUAACUGACGCUGAGGCACGAAAGUGUGGGUAGCAAACAGG